rnacentral:rRNA from 1 species
UCCGGAGGGUGCGAUCGUUAAUCGGAAUUACUGGGCGUAAAGCGUCCGUAGGCGGCUUGUUAAGUCUGAUGUGAAAGCCCUGGGCUUAACCUGGGAACGGCAUUGGAUACUGGCGAGCUAGAGUUCGGUAGAGGGUGGUGGAAUUCCCGGUGUAGCGGUGAAAUGCGUAGAGAUCGGGAGGAACACCGGUGGCGAAGGCGGCCACCUGGACCGAGACUGACGCUGAGGGACGAAAGCGUGGGGAGAAAACAGG